GAGCCUACGGGACGCAGCAGUAGGGAAUCUUCCACAAUGGACGAAAGUCUGAUGGAGCAACGCCGCGUGAGUGAAGAAGGGUUUCGGCUUGUAAAGCUCUGUUGGUAGGGAAGAAAGAUAGAGGUAGUAACUGGCCUUUUUUUGACGGUAAUUACUUAGAAAGCCACGGCUAACUACGUGCCAGCAGCCGCGGGAAUACGUAGGGGGCAAGCGUUGUCCGGAUUUAUUGGGCGUAAAGCGAGUGCAGGCGGCUCAAUAA
rnacentral:rRNA from 1 species